rnacentral:rRNA from 1 species
AGAGUUUGAUCCUGGCUCAGAUUGAACGCUGGCGGCAUGCCUUACACAUGCAAGUCGAACGGUAACAGGUCUUCGGAUGCUGACGAGUGGCGAACGGGUGAGUAAUACAUCGGAACGUGCCUAGUAGUGGGGGAUAACUACUCGAAAGAGUAGCUAAUACCGCAUGAGAUCUACGGAUGAAAGCAGGGGAUCGCAAGACCUUGUGCUACUAGAGCGGCUGAUGGCAGAUUAGGUAGUUGGUGGGAUAAAAGCUUACCAAGCCGACGAUCUGUAGCUGGUCUGAGAGGACGAUCAGCCACACUGGGACUGAGACACGGCCCAGACUCCUACGGGAGGCAGCAGUGGGGAAUUUUGGACAAUGGGCGAAAGCCUGAUCCAGCAAUGCCGCGUGCAGGAUGAAGGCCUUCGGGUUGUAAACUGCUUUUGUACGGAACGAAAAGCUUUGGGUUAAUACCCUGGAGUCAUGACGGUACCGUAAGAAUAAGCACCGGCUAACUACGUGCCAGCAGCCGCGGUAAU